rnacentral:rRNA from 1 species
AUUGAACGCUGGCGGCAGGCCUAACACAUGCAAGUCGAACGGCAGAACAGUACUUGCUCGCUGUUUCGGGUGGGGACUGGCGGGUGAGUCCUAGGAACCUCGGAAUUUGCUUUUUCUUGGGUGCGAACGCGGGGGCACUUACCCUAUUCGCGCAUACGACGUACGGGUGAGAGCAGCGGACCUUCGGACCUUGGGCGAUUGUAUGACCCGUUAUCGGAUUAGUUGGGUGACGGGGUAAAGGGCCACCAAGGCGACGCUCGGUAGCUGGUCUGAGCGGAUGAUCAGCCACACUGGAACUGAGACACGGUCCAGACUCCUACGGGAGGCAGCAGGGGGGAAUAUUGGACAAUGGGCGAAAGCCUGAUCCAGCCAUACCGCGUGGGUGAAGAAGGCCUUCGGGUUGUAAAGCCCCUUUGUUGGGAAAGAAAAGCAGCAGGUUAAUACCCCGCUGUUCUGACGGUACCCAAAGAAUAAGCACCGGCUAACUUCGUG